rnacentral:rRNA from 1 species
GGUUAAGUUGUGUAGGGCGCAUGGUGGAUGCCUUGGUGCCGGAAGCCGAUGAAGGACGUGUGAGGCCGCGAUAGGCCUGGGGGAGUCGCCAGCAGGGCUGUGAUCCCAGGGUGUCCGAAUGGGGAAACCUGGCCGGGUUUGUGCUCGGUCGCUCCCGCUUGAAUGUAUAGGGCGGGUUGUGGUGACGCGGGGAAGUGAAACAUCUCAGUACCCGCUGGAAGAGAAAACAAGUAGUGAUUGUGUGAGUAGUGGUGAGCGAAAGCGCAGGAGGCUAAACUAGGUUCGUGUCAAGGCGGCAGCCGUUGCGGAUCUGGGGUUGUGAGAUGAUGCCGUGAUUUCCUGCCGGGGAUCGGGUGUGUGCUUGGGGUUAGCUGAAGGCGUUGGGAAGCGCUGCCGUAGUGGGUGAGAGUCCCGUAGGUGAAGGCCCUUUUAGUGUGCAUCUGGUGUUGUUCUCGAGUAGUACAGGAUUCGUGGAGUCUUGUGUGAAUCUGCCAGGACCGUCUGGUAAGCCUAAAUACUUCCGGUGACCGAUAGUGGAUAGUACCGUGAGGGAAUGGUGAAAAGUACCCCGGGAGGGGAGUGAAAUAGUUCCUGAAACCAUGUGCUGAUAAUCCGUCAGAGCCUGGCCGUAUGCUUUUGUGUGCGGGGUGGGUGAUGGCGUGCCUUUUGAAGAAUGAGCCUGCGAGUUAAGGUGUGCAGCGAGGUUAACCAGUGUUGGGGAGCCGUAGCGAAAGCGAGUCUGAAUAGGGCGGUUGAGUUGUGCGUUUUAGACCCGAAGCGGAGUGAUCUACCCAUGUCCAGGGUGAAGCGGCUGUAAGAGGUCGUGGAGGCCCGAACCCACUUAGGUUGAAAACUGAGGGGAUGAGGUGUGGGUAGGGGUGAAAGGCCAAUCAAACUCCGUGAUAGCUGGUUCUCCCCGAAAUGCAUUUAGGUGCAGCGUCAUACCUAGCUUGGUUGUGGUAGAGCUCUGGUUGGUUAAUGGGCCUUAUUGGUUACUGAGAUCAGCUAAACUGCGAAUGCGACUAAGUGGUGGGUGGCAGUGAGACUGUGGGGGAUAAGCUUCAUAGUCGAGAGGGAAACAGCCCAGAUCACCGGCUAAGGCCCCUAAGGGUGUGCUAAGUGGGAAAGGAUGUGUGGUCGCGUAGACAGCCAGGAGGUUGGCUUAGAAGCAGCCAUCCUUGAAAGAGUGCGUAAUAGCUCACUGGUCGAGUGGUUUCGCGCCGAUAAUGUAGCGGGGCUAAGCACACCGCCGAAGCCGUGGCAAAUACAGUCAUCCAUGUGGUGGCUGGUUUGGGUAGGGGAGCGUCCUGCGUGUGGUGAAGCAGUUCUGUGAGGAGCUGUGGAAUGCGUGGGAGUGAGAAUGCAGGCAUGAGUAGCGAUUUGGAGGGUGAGAAUCCCUCCCGCCGAUUGACUAAGGGUUCCAGAGGACGGCUGUUCCGCUCUGGGUUAGUCGGGGCCUAAGGCGAGGCCGAAAGGCGUAGUCGAUGGAUAACCGGUUGAUAUUCCGGUACCCGCGUUGUGCGUAUAGUGCGAACGGGAUUGUGCUAACUGGCAUGUGCGCGGCUUCUGCUGCCCUUUGGGUGGUGGGGGUUGUUGUGUGUGUUAGGGUCCCUUUCCUUAGUAGUGUAGUGAUGGGGUGACGCAGUGGGGUAGCUAUACCGUCUGGUGGAAUAGGCGGGGCAAGGUGGUAGCCCGUGUUCCUAGGUAAAUCCGGGAAUGCAGCGGUGGUGACAUCGCAGGGUGAGCGCUGAUGCAUAGCCAUAUGUGGUGAAUGUAGUGAUCCCGUGCUGUCGAGAAAAGCCUCUAGCGAGUGCGAUGCGGCCCGUACCCUAAACCGACACAGGUAGUCAGGUAGAGCAUACUGAGGCGUUCGGGUGAACUGUGGUUAAGGAACUCGGCAAAUUGCCCCCGUAACUUCGGGAGAAGGGGGGCCAUCACUGGUUGGGCAUGCGCCUAGAUGCUGGUGGUGGUCGCAGUGAAGCGGAGGAAGCGACUGUUUACUAAAAACACAGGUCCAUGCGAAGAAGUAAUUUGAUGUAUAUGGACUGACGCCUGCCCGGUGCUGGAACGUUAAGAGGAUCCAUUAAGACUUUCGGGUCUGUCGUGGUGAAUUGAAGCGCCAGUAAACGGCGGUGGUAACUAUAACCAUCCUAAGGUAGCGAAAUUCCUUGUCGGGUAAGUUCCGACCUGCACGAAUGGCGUAACGACUUCCUCGCUGUCUCAACCACAGGCCCGGCGAAAUUGCAAUACGAGUAAAGAUGCUCGUUUCGCGCGGCAGGACGAAAAGACCCCGGGACCUUUACUAUAGCUUGGUAUUGGUGUUUGAGGCUUCUUGUGUAGGAUAGGUGGGAAACUGUGAAGCAGCCACGCUAGUGGUUGUGGAGUUAUUGGUGAAAUACCACUCUGGUUGUCUUAGGCGUCUAACCUACGACCCUUAUCGGGUUGAGGGACAGUGCCUGGUGGGUAGUUUAACUGGGGCGGUUGCCUCCUAAAUGGUAACGGAGGCGCCCAAAGGUACCCUCGGGCUGGUUGGAAACCAGUCGGUGAGUGUAAGCGUAUAAGGGUGCUUGACUGUGAGACGGACGUGUCGAGCAGGUACGAAAGUAGGGGCUAGUGAUCCGGCACCAACGUACGGAUGUGGUGUCGCUUAACGGAUAAAAGGUACCCCGGGGAUAACAGGCUGAUCUUCCCCAAGAGUCCAUAUCGACGGGAUGGUUUGGCACCUCGAUGUCGGCUCGUCGCAUCCUGGGGCUGGAGCAGGUCCCAAGGGUUGGGCUGUUCGCCCAUUAAAGCGGCACGCGAGCUGGGUUUAGAACGUCGUGAGACAGUUCGGUCUCUAUCCGCCGCGCGCGUAGGAAACUUGAUGAAGGGCUGUCCCUAGUACGAGAGGACCGGGAUGGACAAACCGCUGGUGUGCCAGUUGUUCCGCCAGGGGCAUGGCUGGUUGGCUACGUUUGGGAAGGAUAACCGCUGAAAGCAUCUAAGCGGGAAGCCUGCUUCGAGAUGAGGUUUCCGUCCCACCAUAGGUGGGGAGAGGCCCCCAGAAGAUGACUGGGUUGAUAGGCCAGAAGUGGAAGCACAGCAAUGUGUGGAGCUGACUGGUACUAAUAGGCCGAGAACUUAACACA